rnacentral:rRNA from 2 species
GAGUUUGAUCGUGGCUCAGGAUGAACGCUAGCGGCAGGCUUAACACAUGCAAGUCGAGGGGUAAAUAGUAGCAAUACUAUGAGACCGGCAAACGGGUGCGGAACACGUACAGAACCUACCUUUAUCUGGGGCAUAGCCCGGAGAAAUCCGGAUUAACUCCCCAUAGUAUCAGUUGGUGGCAUCAUUGAUUGAUUAAAAAUUUAUUGGAUAAAGAUGGCUGUGCGUCCCAUUAGCUAGUUGGUAGGGUAACGGCCUACCAAGGCGACGAUGGGUAGCUGGUGUGAGAGCACGACCAGCCACACGGGCACUGAGACACGGGCCCGACUCCUACGGGAGGCAGCAGUGAGGAAUAUUGGUCAAUGGACGCAAGUCUGAACCAGCCAUGCCGCGUGAAGGAUGAAGGCCUUCUGGGUUGUAAACUUCUUUUAUGUGGGAAGAAACCCCUUGUUUCUACGAGGGUUGACGGUACCAUAGGAAUAAGCACCGGCUAACUCCGUGCCAGCCGCCGCCGUAAG